UACGUAGGAGGCGAGCGUUGUCCGGAAUCACUGGGUGUAAAGCGCGUGUAGGCGGCCUGCCAAGUCUGCUGUGAAAGCGCCUGGCUUAACCGGGCGAGGUCGGUGGAAACUGGCGGGCUGGAGGACGGUAGAGGUCGGUGGAAUUCCCGGUGUAGUGGUGAAAUGCGUAGAGAUCGGGAGGAACACCUGUGGCGAAGGCGGCCGACUGGGCCGACCCUGACGCUGAGGCGCGGAAGGCGUGGGGAGCGAACGGGG
rnacentral:rRNA from 1 species